rnacentral:rRNA from 1 species
AUUGAACGCUGGCGGCAGGCCUAACACAUGCAAGUCGAACGAGUGGCGGACGGGUGAGUAAUGUCUGGGAAACUGCCCGAUGGAGGGGGAUAACUACUGGAAACGGUAGCUAAUACCGCAUACCAUCGGAUUUGCCCAGAUGGGAUUAGCUUGUAGGUUAGGUAACGGCUCACCUAGGCGACGAUCCCUAGCUGGUCUGAGAGGAUGACCAGCGACGCGGGAACUGAGACACGGUCCAGACUCCUAGGGGAGGCAGCGGGGGGGAAUAUUGCACAAUGGGCGCAAGCCUGAGAAAGCCAUGCCGCGUGUAUGAAGAAGGCCUUCGGGUUGUAAAGUACUUUCAGCGGGGAGGCGGUACCCGCAGAAGAAGCACCGGCUAACUCCGUGCCAGCAGCCGCGGUAAUAC